AAAAUCUUUGUCAAGUCUCAAUACAUCUUUGUCAAGAACAUAAUCUUUAAAAAAUUUGUUUUGACAUGAACUUAAGCCUCGAUGUGCGUGACUUGUGCUAAUUUUAAACUCUUGUCGACGAAGGAUUCGGCGAAGUUAUGUACAACUUCCUAAGCAUUUUCAAAGCCCAUGCUCGAGUUUAAAAAGUGUUUUAAAGGUUUGUGAGCUUGUUUUAAUACUUUAUAUUCCCCCAUUUCCUGUUUGUACAGCAGCCUUUCUCUUUUCUGCCUCUUAAAAGCAUGCUAGAGGUGUUUUUUUAUCGGCCUUUUUUAUACAGUACUUCAACUCUCACACUCAAGUCCUGGAACCAACCCCGAGCAACUGCACUUACUCGUCCGUCGGCCAACACGAGUUAUACCAGUUAUGACGUCACGUCAAACACCACCAAUCAGCUCUUCCCAUUCCGACAGCACUGGGAGCUCCUGGGAGUCCCCCACAAAGGAUUAUCCACUCCUGCAACCCUUCACCGAGCUCCAUUCGAGUGGCAUAACGUUUAAUUUGUAGUUUUGAUUUUUAAAGUUAAUGAAGUUUGAUUGAUUAAUAGGACAAUCAGUUAUUGCGCAAAUUAUAUUGAUCGCCAUAUGUAAUAUAGUAUUUAGUUUG
rnacentral:misc_RNA from 1 species